AUUUGAGUUUAAAAGAUAUCCAUUAUCUCUCUUCGGGUGCAUGCUCUCUCGACUGAAGGGUUGUGCAGCCAUUGUUGGUCUUUGUCUCAUCUUUCUCAGCUACCGCUAUCCUUCACACCUUACCAUUUAAAGUCCAAAAGAUAUCCAAUCUCUCUUCGUGUGCACGCUCUCUCCACUGAAGGGUUGUGUAGCCACUGCUGAUCUUUGUCUCAUCUUUCUCAGCUGCUAUUCUUCACACCUCUCUAUUUGAGACCGUUAGCUAUCCAAUCUCUUUUCGUGUGCAUCUCGAGUGAAGGUUUGUGCAGCCAUUAACGUUCUUUGUCUCCUCUAUCUGAGAUGGAUUUAUUCCUGGGUACAACCAAUGGAUAACUCAUGGAGAACUUCCUAGUCGCCUUUCAUCUAGGGGGUGAAAAUCAACAUAAUAGUUUGGGCGAUGAUGAUAUGCACGGUUUAGUUCAUGAUGCAUUUGGAGUUCCAAAUGAAGAUGGAUCUACAAAAGAAUAUACAGGAUCUCCGAUGGAUGCAUAAAUUGCUAAUGGGCAAGCAAAAGAAUUUUUAAGUUGAUUGAUAGUUUGCAAGAACUGUUGUAUGAAGGAUGUUCUAAAUUCUCAAAACUAUCAUUCAUAAUCCGUUUGUUGCACUUAAAGUGUAUUGGGAGCUUGAAUAAUAAAGUAUUCGAUAUGCUUUUAGACU